AUUGAACGCUGGCGGCAUGCCUAACACAUGCAAGUCGAGCGGGGUUUUCGGACCUAGCGGCGGACGGGUGAGUAAUGCGUAGGAAGCUACCCGAUAGAGGGGGAUACCAGUUGGAAACGACUGUUAAUACCGCAUAAUGUCUACGGACCAAAGUGUGGGACCUUCGGGCCACAUGCUAUCGGAUGCGCCUACGUGGGAUUAGCUAGUUGGUGAGGUAAUGGCUCACCAAGGCGACGAUCCCUAGCUGGUUUGAGAGGAUGAUCAGCCACACUGGAACUGAGACACGGUCCAGACUCCGACGGGAGGCAGCAGUGGGGAAUAUUGGACAAUGGGCGCAAGCCUGAUCCAGCCAUGCCGCGUGUGUGAAGAAGGCCUUCGGGUUGUAAAGCACUUUCAGUAGGGAGGAAGCGUUGUGUGUUAAUAGUACACAGCGUUGACGUUACCUACAGAAGAAGCACCGGCUAACUCUGUGCCAGCAGCCGCAGUAAGAC
rnacentral:rRNA from 1 species